rnacentral:lncRNA from 1 species
AAGGAGUCUCAGAGGCUUCUUGGUAGAUCUGUUAGAUUUAAAACACAUAUGACAGCAGAAACUCUUGUACAUAGGGCAGUUGUAGGUAUAAGCAGACUCGCUGGGAAUGCUUCUGAGUUUGGAGCAGGCAGCGAGGUACAAGCUCAACUGACCCCUAGAUGAGGAGGAGACUAUUUAUACAUAUGCAAUGAAAGAGAAUAGACUGUACUGUAUGUAACAGAUUUGCAAAGUGUUUGGGAUAUAAAUAUAUUCAUUCCUUUGGGUCCUUCUUCCCAAUGACAGCUCCCUGACGAAAGCUGUGCCGUGUCAGGGCCUAUAGAUCAAAGUCAUACCUAGAAAGGUUAGAUCAAGGUUGCAUUUGGAGAGAAAGUUCCCUGCUUGGAGAUUGUCAGGAAGGCCAGAUCAGGUCAAGGCUCCCUCUCCAAACAGUGCUUGGAAAUACCUGGAGAGGGAUGUGAUGUAUGCAUGCAUUGGAUUUGCACAGAAGGAUAGUAACCCUAAAAGCAUUUAUCCCUCUUCUUAUGGAUAAGAAGAUGAUAAGUUUCCUCAAAUGCAGACACAUCCUGAAUGGUGGACCAGCUGCUUUAAAGAUGCUCUGCUGGAUAAUCCUUGGCCUCUGCUCGUGAUAGUGAGCAGCAUCAUGACGUAUUUAUACAACACCAGCAUAAACAGCAUUUUCCAGAAAGCUUCACCACUUGAGCAAAAAAUAUUUUGGAAACAGAAGCUAAAGUGUUCAGAAACAUCCUCUUGUUCAUCUGAAACCUGUCACUGGUCAGUUCGUGUUAUGUCAGCACUGUCCAAAUAUCCUGUGGCCAUAAUGCUAAUAGAUAGCAGCCUGGGACAUCGGCAUGAAGCUGAUGCAAAUGACUAUAUUGGCCAACCCGAAUGAGCAGUUCUCCAUGGGCUAAGGUGGCUUUGGGCAAGUGUUGGGACAGCCAUAGAAAGAGCUCCUAAAAAAUGAGAAUGAGAAGAGGGUAAAGGACCCUGUUCCUCAGUAAACACAGCGUGAGCCGGUUGGUAACUCAGGGCCUUCAGUCAGAAGUGCUGGUGGCCAGAGGUGCUGCCUACCCAGCUGAUCCCAUGAGGAGACCACAUAGGUGCCAAUGCCAGCUUUCUGGGCUGUUAUCCAGUCUGUAGUUCUGUCCCACCCUUUGUGACUUGUCUGCACCUUGAGCUGUGAAGGCUUUCCUUCGUGCCGUUGCGUGUAGGAAUCCUACAUUUUCAUUGCAUACUUCUGGACUUUCCAGGUUUGCCACAGGGCUGGAAAGUUAUAUUUUAGGCAAAUCUAUUACUAAGAACUGAAACUUUUUAAUUUAGUACAGUGAAUUGGACUAGACUGCUGGACAGCAAGGAACCAAAGGGAGAGAAAUGCCAGUAGUUGCAAUCAUUUGUACUAGCUCUAUUUACUGCUCUCAUCUUAUAUCCAGAUGGAUCAAUUCGGUCUUCAGGCCAAAUCCAUUCUUUGCAUAGCCAAAAUGAAGGCAACGAGGUUGUUCCUUGGAUGAAUCUGAUGUCUGGAUCCAGACUGUUCUGCAGCUGGCAAGGUGUUUGCCUUGUUUCUCUCAAACCACAUUCCUGGAUGCCACGCGUUUUUAAUGGAGGAGGAAGGAAAAGGCUCGUGUCAUCGGUGUGGGUGUGUUAUGUACGCCUGGGAAUCCUGGAGAGAUGAUUUUGUGGAAAGGGAACGAUUGUUUGCUGUUGGGGAAUCCUGCUGUCAUCUCAAACGAGGAAACCUGGGUGAGCACACACCUGCUAGCUGCUUGGUU